rnacentral:rRNA from 1 species
AACUGCGAUACCUAGUGUGAAUUGCAGAAUUCAGUGAAUCAUCGAGUCUUGAACGCAAAUGGCGCUCUCGUUCACCGGAGCACGUCUGUCUGAGCAUUCUGU